UUUGCCAUGCAGAAGCUCUGCAAUUUCAUGCAAUCCCAUUUGUCCAACCUUUCUUUGAUUUCUUGUGCUUCUGGGCCUCUAUUAAGAGAAUUUCGGCCUGUGCCAAGAGACCUAGGGUUUGUGGUAUUCUGUCCU